GCCGCCGCCUCUGGUUCCUCUGGUUUCUCUCGAACUCUCUCAACCUCCGAAACCCUUCAAGUCUCCUACCCUCUCUCGACCCAAAAUCCACCAAAAUUCAUGGCUAAUCUAGCCAUGUAUGAUCUAUAUUCACCAUCUCCUACUCCUAUACGCCUGCUCACUGGUGAAUCGAGGCUAGACCUCGAAGGUCUUCCUCCAUACCUUGGCCGAUUCGAGAUUCCUUGGUCGUUUCCGGCUUGCUCCGGCAUCUCUCAACCACCUGAGUCUGGGUUCGACUUUAGCAGCUUAGUACCAUUCUCGAGACUUCCAAGCCUUCUCAUCCUUUUGGGUUCUCAGAAACCCUAGCCUAAUCGAGGUUCCUUUUUUGCUUAUCCUUUUAGAUCUGUGUUAGAACUAUGCUAAAUUUGACGAUUUGAGUAUUUUCCCUAAAUUUCCUUUUUAAAAUCAUUGGUUUUUCAAAAUUUGGAUUUCUGCGGGUCUUCUGAUUAUUGCUUUUCUUUUCUUAUAGAUGUUUUUCUGUAGUAUACUUGUAUGUUUUCCUCCUCCAUUAUGCAUGUAUUGUCUGCUCACCUGAUUAGUCUUUUUUUCUUCAUUCUUCUACCAUGCGUGUUUACUAAUGUGUUUCUCAAAUGUUUUGCUUUUUUAAACUAUAUUCGUGUUCUUGUCAAACAUGCUUCAUAUGUUCUGUUUAAACCCCCAUCUUUUCUUAAGUUCAGAAGUUGUUUGAACAUGUUUUUUUUCACGCCUUAAAAUGGUUUUUCUUUCCUUGAUUGUUUCUGUAUUUGCCUGAUUCUCACGAGACUCCUUGAGUCUAUUCACUUGCCUUUUCGUUUCUGUGUUUGAUUCGAUGGGAAACACUAGAAUUUGGGAGUUUUUCUUGGUAAAUCGAAUUAGGGUUUCACUUUGGAGACCCUAUAUCUCAGACUCACUAUGAGUCUCUUGGUGAACUCAUAUUCUUUUGUUUAUGAUUUUGAGCACUUCAAUGCUAGACCCUUCUGUUUGAAGUGGUUGUUUAUAUGCGAGAAACCCCCUCUUCCAAAGUUUUGGUGAUUGUUUAAUUGAUUUUGAAUCCCUUUGAUAGGGUCUUGACUAAUUGCCAUUGAUUUUCUUUGGUUAAGUCCUCUUUAGGUAUUUCUGGUUUGGUUUAUUCGAUUUAAAACCCGUCAUGUUGAUGUUGUUAAUUGUUUGAUUGAUUCCUUUUCCUUUUUUCUUUGCAAAUCAAGUACUAUUGAACUCUUUCCUUAAAUAAGUCUCAUGUAUUAUCCCCUCUUGUGCUGCUGUGAAGGACUUUGCUGAAAUUCCCUUUCCUUAAUUACAUGCUCCCGUUUGAAAUUAAAUCCCUUGACUAAAGGGAGAAUAUUUGAGAUUGAUUUUUAAAGUUUUCAUACCUUUCUUAUUUGCUGCUCUACACAAUAUAAAAGGCUUAGCCCUCAUAUUUACAAACACACACAAGAACAGUAGUAACGAAUAAAAGAGUAAUAACCAAGCAAUAGGCAGUCUAUUUUCCUACUCUCUUCUUCUCCCACCAUACAGACCAGUUCUAUUUUCUAUUGCUUUCUUCUGAAAAACCUUUAAUUUCUUCUAAUAUCCUCGAGUGUUCUGCUGAAAUUCUAAGUUGGUUCUGCUGUUUUCUUGCAGUGGCUACUCUGCUGUUCUCUUUCUAUUACUUUGCAACUGGUAGGUCCAUCUUAUUAUAAUAUUGC
rnacentral:lncRNA from 1 species